GUAGGACAAUGAUCGGCAACCCUGCCGUCAGGAUGUAAAUACGCCCGUCUAUACUUUAUAGACUAGAUAUACUUCAGUUGCUUGUCAUAUCAUUCUACUUGUCAUCUUCUAAAGAAAGCAUUGAUCGAACAACAUUGUUAUAAAGAUUUCCCUGAAUUUAUUACUUUAUUUUUAUAAAUAGUUGCAUCCUGAAAAUCACUAAAGAACCCGACCUACGUGGCGGAACAGCGGAUUGAAUUUAUUGGCCAAUUAGCUUGCAAGGCCCACUGAAAUAUUUUGAAGCGGAAUAUACGAC